ensembl:lncRNA
CCCUGAUCUACCUUCCUAUGUUACUGUUCCUGUUUCAACUGUCACUUUUCUUUCCAUUAGUUUAAUUUUAGUGCUCCGCAGGUCCAGGUUUGCUCUGUGCCCGUGGGAGAUACUGCCCAGCAGGCACAGUCAUCGAAGUUACAUGUCCAAGAGGCACCUUCACCCCACAUCAAGGCGCUCUAAGUGUGAAGGACUGUCUGAAGUGUCCGGGAGGUUUCUACUGCCCAGAGGGAACAAGUGAUCCUUUGCCUUGUCAGCCUGGCACUUUUAACCCAUUGGAGGGGCAGGAUGCAUUGACAGACUGUAGGUUGUGUUACCCGGGCAAGGCCUGUACACAGGUAGCCCUGAAGGCUCCAGAUGUUGAAUGUAUGUCAGGCUUUGUAUGCCCACCUGGCUCAGCACGACCCAAUUACCCUGCCAACUCUUGCCCACCUGGAACCCUGAGCAACAGGACAGAUCUGACUGACCGCUCUCAGUGCCAGCUGUGUCCAGCACGCUAUGCCUGUCUGCGAGGCACUGGUGGCAUCCAGAGACCUCCACUCUCCUGCUUUGCUGGUCAUUACUGCCCGGUUGGCACCAUGUUCCCCACCCAACACAAGUGUCCAGCAGGCACCUGGAAUGAUCGCAGUGGGCUGGAGUCUGAGAGCGAGUGCCGGCCAUGCCCACGAGGCUGGUAUUGUCUGGCUGGUGUAGGCGUUCCUUCUGGAAGGUGCAGCUCGGGAUACUAUUGCCCAGAAGGAACAAUGUAUGGCACCCAGUUUCCUUGCCCUAGAGGCACAUACAGCAUAAAAAUGGGCAAUGGUGGAAAAGAGGAUUGUGUGGUAUGUCCUGAAGGGUAUUACUGCCAGGAGGGUUCGUCCAAACCCAUACCGUGCCCUCCGUAAGUAAAGUAAAAGCCCUAGUAAUCUUACUGUAUAUAUUAUGACUGAAGUGGGCUGAAACAAGUUGAAUUUGGUUAUCUCUGUGUCUAGAACAACAUUUCGGCAGUUUAAAGGAGGCCAAAGGCCCGAGGACUGUGCUGUGUGUCCAGCUGGCUACUUCUGUCCCCACUCAGCCACAGUCCACCCCAGAGUGUGUGGGACUGGCAGUUACUCUGUAAGCACAGUUUUUAAAGUACAUAUAUAUUUUGUGGGCUGGUACAUACAUUUACUGUGGACUAGUCAAAAUGUUACAUGUUACUGCUAUUUACUUUAUGCAUCUCAAUUUGCCAUUCUACACUCUCAGGAUGAGGGUUCAGAGGAGUGCUUUCCAUGUUUACCUGGUCACUACUGUAGUGAUGAGACCACCAGUGAGGAGGCCAUGCUCAGAGUGAUGGUGUGUCCACCUGGUUUCCUGUGCUCUAAAGGCUUGGAUCGGGAUCCCCAGCGCUCAGCCGUUCUUUGCCCUAUUGGCUUCUACUGCCCUGGGGGUGGUGUUAAUCCAAAUCCCAUACCAUGUCCCAAUGGCACCUACAGUCGGAAACCAGGACUGCGGGACCCUUCAGACUGCACCGUGUGUCCGGUGGGAAUGUACUGCUUCUCUCAGCAACCCCAGGAACAUCCAAUUACUGAACCAACUGGAGGCUGUCCUGAUGGAUAUUACUGCCCUUUGGGCACUGGACAUCCUCUUUCAUUCCCAUGUAAAUCAGGAUUCUUCAGGAAUGAAUCUCAUGGACAUGGUGGAGGUGCCUGUGUGAAAUGCCCAGCAAGAUAUUAUUGUAUGAGUGUUGCGACACACACACCAUCAGUCUGCCCAGAGGGCUUUUUCUGUCCUGAGGGGAGUUCUGCCCCAGAGCCAUGUGAGGAAG